AAAGUAAUCUGCGUCGGACCCCUUAGCCCAUCCGACGCAAAUCAGCCCAAAAGCCCAAUUUAUUUCUAACCCCAUAACCAGCGCCUCUCUAUUAACAUCUCAAACCCUAAAGCUUCUCAAAACCACCCGCCUCCCUUUCGUCCCUCUCAACCCGCCUCCCUCUCUUUCUCUCUCACUUUCGUCCCUCUCAACCCGCCUCCCUCUCUUUCUCUCUCACUUUCGUCCCUCAAACGCAUCAGGAAGUCCCUCUCUUUGUCUCUCACUUUCGUCCCUCUUCUUCACGUCGAAAAAAUCAUUUUCUCUUCAACAUCUGCUUCAGUUUGCAUCAACCGACGAUCGAAUCUUCGACGCCAUGACCUUCAGUGAGCAAUCUUCAGCGUCGACGACACCAACAACAGCAACAACACUUCGAACAACGAACGAAUCUUAAGCGAACGAACGAAUCUUCAGAAUUCAGAUCUUGUUUGAAGACCUCGUUUUUUCAUCCUAAAAUCUCCAGAUGUGUUCGAAGUAUAACAACGAGAAGGAAGGUCAAGAUGUGAAGGAAGCUCCAACAUUUUUUUUACUAUUAUUGAUAGAUUUGUUUUUAUGAAUUAUUGUAAUAUAUAUGUUCUAAAAUUCGAAGCAUUUUCGUUUUUAUUUUUCCAGAUCUGGUCGAAUUUUUGUACAGUAUUGUUAUUAGUUUUAUUUGAUUUUCAAUCCUCUA